UUUUGGCAGAAAGCCUUCUGCAGGGCAGAGAAGCACGGGGGAAGAUGCCAGAAUAGAAAUGUGGUGGGGGAGGGGAAGAGGCGAGCUGGAAUUUGAUGCCGGGUGGGUGGGGAAGGUCAAGAAAGGGUGGGCUGGAGAAUAAAGAAUCUGAUAGGAGGGGAGAGUGGACCAGAGAGAGGGCGUGAGGAGGGUCCCGGGAGGAGUGUAGGAAGGUGAGAAGUACAAGGUCAGAGUGGGGCAUAGAGGAGGGUGACGGUAAUUUGUUCUCCUGAGUGGAAAUCGAUGUUCAUGCCAUCAGAUUGGAGGGUACCCAGACAGAAUAUAAUGUGUUGCUCCUCCACGGGGAGAGGAGCUCAUCUUGGCACAAGAGGAGUCCACGGAUCGACACGGCGGAACAGGACUGGGAAUGAAGAAUUAAAAUGCUUGCUGACUGUUGUCCCGUGGGACCAGGCAAGGUUGCCCUUUAAGUCCUCUAUUAUUUGACAUUGCUUUGGAACCUUUAGCCGUUGCCAUUCGUGAAUCACCUAAUAUUUUUGGUAUUACCCGUGGAUACCAGCAAGUUAGAAAUUUCUUGAAUUUGUCCCGUGGUACGAGGCAAGGCUGCCCUUUAAGUGCUCUAUUAUUUGACAUUGCUUUGGAACCUUUAGCCAUUGCCAUUCGUGAAUCACCUAAUAUUUUUGGUAUUACCCGUGGGUAAGGGACUUAUAAGAUAUUAUUAUAUGCUAAUCAUUUGCUACUAUACAUGUCUGACCCUGAGAGAUCUAUUCCUGCUGUUUCAUCCUUGCUUGCUCAGUUUAGUAGCUUUUCUGGCUACAAACUGAAUUUUAAUAAGUGUGAAUUAUUUCCAUUAAAUAUGCAAGUUCCAAUUUAUAAACACUUACUGUUUUAAGUUGUCACAGAUCAUUUUACUUAUUUGGGUAUUAAAAUUACCAAGAAACAUAAGGGUUUAUUUAAAGUUAAUUUUUUACCUUUAAUUGAACAAAUCAAGCAACUCGUUACCAGGUGGUCCUCAUUAUCUCCGUCAUUGGUUGGUUGAAUUAAUACUAUCAAGAUAAUAGUAUUACCCAAAUUUUUAUAUUUAUUCCAAGCAUUAACAAUUUUUAUUCCUAAAUAUUUUUUUGAUAUUAUUGACUCCAAAAUACCCUCGUAUGUCUGGCAGAAUAAAAAUCCUAGAUUAAGUAAAAUAUAUUUACAGAAGCCUAAGAAGGAAGGUGGUUUUGCUUUGCCAAACCUGAGAUUUUACUAUUGGACAGUUAAUAUUCAAUAUUUAAUAUUUUGGACACGAGAAUUGGUCGUAGUACCUUGCCCACAAUGGGUAAAUUUGGAGUGUAAAUCUGUACAAGACUUCUCAUUGUUUUCUAUUUUAGGAUCUUUGCCUCCUUUUGCUUUAUCUAAACCAAAUAAACAAAUAACUAAUCCUGUAGUUAAACAUACACUAAGAAUAUGGUUUCAAUUUUGUAAAUUCUUCAGCUUGAAUAAGUUUAUCUUAUCAACCCCUAUUAUAUCUAACUUUUUGUCCAGCCUUCUUUUAUGGACGAAGCCUUUGUGUUUUGGAAAACAAAACGUAUAACAUGUUUUCGUGAUCUAUUUUUAGAUAACAGUUUUAUGUCCUUUGAACAGCUAUCCAGCCUAAAACUCAUUUUUUUUUUAGAUACUUGCAAGUUAGCAAUUUCUUGAAUGUUAGUCUUUUCUGAAAUUAUGUCCAAUGGACAUUACAGAAAAAAAUUCUGGCUCUGAAUCCUUGUCAGAAGGGUUUAGUAGCUAUUAUUUAUAAUAUGAUCAUGAAAAUACAGCCAGGAGUAUCAGAAACAAUUAAGAAGGAAUGGGAAAAAGA